GGAUGCAGAAUACAUUUUUCAUGCCUAUCGCAGUAUUGGCAUCUUUUCUAGGAGAUACAAAAUUAAUUUUGAAACCAGAACGCUGGAUAUUACGGAAUAGGAUUUUUAAAAACCUUGCAGUUACAGCUAAGUAUCGGAUAGCAGGUUUAAUCCUAAACUUCGUUUCCAGCUAAUCGCUUCAAUGAGACUAAGCUUAAGCCUACUUCCUGGUAGUGGUAGUGGUUAGCUUAUUACCUGUAGCUGUACAACACCUUUUCCUUCCUUUAAAAGCAGUUGGUCACAUUCAAGAAAGAUGGUCAUAUACGUGAUCCUUAAUUCAUGUUUCAGUAUGGUACAGUACCUCAGUUGACGUAAAAUUGCAAACAUCUCUAUGGCAGUCAGCACCACGAUGGCAGCCAUACGUAAUCCAACUUUUCCUGGUGGCAAGCUUAUGGUCGAACAUCUUUUAAUGAGCUCAAAAUAGCAGUGAAGUUACGUUAAAUGACCAGCUGCUGGAAGUGAGAUCCAGCUUACUGUUAGGUUAGGUUUUGAGAAAUGCUUGCAACUCAGCUCUUUUUACCUACAGCUACCCGGUUCAGCUUGCUGCACCUCGUCAUUAGUUCACGGCCAGGAAACUUCGACUGGACGAACAAGUGCAUCCAUGAAUGAAUGUGCUGCUGCUGUUCAUUUUUUAGUAAUUGGAUGAAGAGAUUUAUAAAAUGCAGAAUUAACAUCAAAUGCCAGCAAACAAUGUGAGAACCUUAAAACAAAAUAUGGAAACACAACUUCAUAAAAAAGUUCACCUGUGUUCUAUAGGACAAUCUACACUUCCAUCUUGCAUCCACAUUAAUGUGGAUGGAAAUUUAUUAUUUCUUUAUCUUGGCUAAGGGAAAUUUCCCUUAGCUUCACAUGAUUGUUUUGCACUCUUGCAAGGUCUUCAACAAAACUGGGUUUACCGUACAAAUCAUAAAAAAUUGGUUGAAAUGUUCCAUAACCUGAGAUUUGUUUCAUGCAAGUAUGGAUGUAUGAGUUGGGUCUUCUAGUUAACAACAAGUUCAUUGCCCUGUGGGAAAAAUACUGGAUAUUUAAAAACUUGCAAAAGAGAUUGAUCAUGCAUCCUCAAAGCAAGCAGAUUUGAAUUGUCAGGUUGUGUACGCAAACCCUUGCGUUCCACUGAACAAGAGCAACGGGAAGGGACCGGUUCUACGGACAUAAAUUUCAAAAAGACUAAAACGAAGCACGGACAUGCAAUCAUUGAAACCUAGGAUUCCAUUUAAAGGGAAAGAUAUUGCUGUUCAUUUUCCAGUCAAGCCGUUAAUUGCAGCCGAAACGUCCAUGGCCUAGCAUAUCUCAUGUAUGCAAUUAACUAAGCAGUGAAGCGACACGCAAGUGUGUAGCUGUAUUGCUGCACCGUUCAUUUUUCGAAAAGAAUUGAAUAUUACCUUCCAAUCGUAUCAUAAUUUCAAGAGGAACAUAGCCGUAUUCAGAGAUGCGGUAGUUGGCACGUCCGGAGAUGAUGAGAGGAG